AUCCAGGCUCCCCUAUUCCAGCACAGCCUCCAUUUCCUCAGGUGUCUCGUAAGUUCACCCCCAACCUCUGAAGAGCUCCACCCCUCCUCACAGGGCAAGCUCACUCCUCGGUUCUUCUUCCCUUCCAGGGCUUCCAUUCUUAUCCCGAGUUUCCAGCUUCAGCCAGGUGCCCAGGGAUGCUUGCUAUGGCCGGAUCCAAAGGCCAAGGCAAGAGGAAACAACGCAGCUCUCUGGGGAUAAGGGUGGGCGGCAUCUCCCAGUCGGGUUUCCUUUUCAGCAUCUGCCGGGAGGGCUGCAGGCCGGCUGGGUAUUUUCAUAGCUGAUCUACUCAAACAAACACAUCUCCUAAAGACAAAUGUUGGUUAUGUUCUCUGAAGACACUACAGUUUAAAUCCACAUUGGGGAACUCCCCCACUAGCCAGGCACCUGUUCUGCCCUUGAAGUCGGCGGGUCCCCAUCCCUGGGCAGAGGAGCUUUUGGUUUCUGACGUUGUCCUCCUGAGGCUGCUGGAAUCACAGAAAGACCUCAUUCCCCUUUAAUGUCAGCUUUCCCAUCCCCUGCGUGUGGUCUCAAGACCUUGGAGCUCUUUCUUAUAACAGGUGGGUGGGGGCGGGGGGCAGGGGAGGGGUGACAGUUUCUUCUGUCAUAUAAACAUAAAAACUUCAGCAACAGUGUCUGAUUGUGUCAAAGCUGAGACCCAGAUAUGCUGGAAUGUGGAGACAGAGACAGUCCUGGUGUGCUGGUGUGGGGGAGCUUAAGGGACAUCAGACCAGCUGCUGAACCACACCCUUCAUUUGCCAAAAGCUCCAUGGGGAGAAACGGGGAUCCUGUCGAAAGCUUGCACAUAUUCUGACACAUGCAGAUAUGUCUUAUGGGCUUAGCAGGCCUGGACAGAGGCAGGGAUUGAGCACGAGGUUGGCGAAUGUCUGACUCCCCACAGGCGAAGAAGGAAGAAGGCUGAAGGAGCCACGCUCACAGCAGGACAGGAAGGCUGUGGGUGUCUGGAAAGCUGUGGGUGAUGUGCCUUGAUUGCCCCCGUGGUGGAGCCCAGCACUCCAGGAGGGAGAAUACUUGUAAAGAAUUAAAUUAGAAUGAUUUGCCUGGGAGGUGGAGUCAGCAGCAUAAGGAGACUGCUAAAAGGGCGAGAGCAGAGCGUAGUGAGAAGUUUCUAUACAGGCUGGAGAUCCCUGGAAGCUAGUGGUGGUGGAGUGAGAGAGGAGAGAACAGACACGUCAAAGGCCAGGGGCCGUCGCUGGUGGCUGGACUAGGUGAGCAGCUCAGUGUUAGGGGGGCAGGUGGCCUCCGUGGGAGAAGCUGAGGGCAGCAGGAUGACCAGGGCCACAGGAAGCAGCUGGGUUAUUUGCAGACAGCUCCCACCUGGGCUGCAUCCAUCACCCACGCACUAUCUUAUCCUCAGAGACGCAGGCCAAAAACGAUGGCUUCUUUUCAGUGGCUACAUUUUGAAUCAGGUGAUGCUUGAUAAAAAUGAAACAUCCUGCUCUUCUUCACCCGACCUGCCUUUUCACCUACCCAAACAAACAAAAGCAAAAAUAAAACAAGACAAUAAUAGCAAUGAGGCAGAGGAAAGACCGAGUCCCAUCCUACAAGAAGGGAGGCCUCCGUCUCCCCACAGCCACUCCUAUCACCCCAGAUCAUCACUGCCUGAAUGCUGCCUUUACCAUCUCAGCCCAAGACACUGUGUUCUUGACAUUUUAAUCAUUGGCAUCAUUAUGUCAUUUCUUUGGCAAUCGAAAGCAAUGUUCCUGCUCCUGUGUGGGUUUGAACAAACAGCCCAAGGGGAGAAAUAAUGAAUUCUCAAAGGAAAAAAAGUCUGUUUCUCAUCUCAAGCACCUGGAAGGCUAAGGCGGGAGGAUUGCUUGAGGUCAGGAGUCCGAGGCUGCAGUGAGCUAUGUUCACACCACUGCACUCCAGCCUGGGUGACACAGUGAGACCCUGUCUCAAAAAAAAAAAUCCUGUAAGCAAUGAGACACACAAGGAGUAAUCAGCACACAGAGCCUUAGCACACACUCCAGCCUGCACACUCUGCAACGUUCUGCUCUUACCUCAGUGUCACAAGGUGUGGCUUGAGCAGCUCUUGCCCAGACAGAUAAAAAGCAGGUGUAACAUAGUGACCCCAAGGGACCCAAGGGUGCCCAUGGUUUGCAAGAGAGGAAAGAACAGAGAGAGCCUGAACAUUCCCAGAAUUGCAUUGCUCACUAGCCAAGCUGUGGCUUCCUUGACACAUGUAGCUGGCAUGGGCUCCGCCCACAAGCAGGCCUGGCUGAGCAGAAGGCAGCUUCCAGGAACU
rnacentral:lncRNA from 1 species